ACGAAUUUUUCAACAUGGCCGCUCGCGUGUCUCUUUGGUAUGGCGUUGGUUUAAUGUCAACAGUAACGUGUUGUUGAAAUAGCUAAUUAAUUGUUAAUCAUUAUAAUUUUAUUUAGUAGUGUUUUUGUAAUAUUGUUUUGUAUUUCAUGAUAUUGUCUGUGUCAAUACCGUGUGCUACUUUAAUGUGAUAGCAUGGAUUGUAUUGUUACCGAAUUUCAAUAGUCAUUGUUUUGAUUAUACGUGACUUGCAUUUAUAUUCUGCUCUUUCGAUGCUGCGUCACUUACCUGGAUCGUUCCCACAACAUCAUCCGAUUCUUUGAUAUGCCUUGGAUACUUACUACGGCUGCCUUCAAUCGUCUUAUAUCUGUGGUCAUAAAGCUGGCUGUUGUACAUGGUGUUCCGUAAACAGGGAGCCAUAACCUAUUUUGCACGUAAACCUUCUCGUAUGAUGAUUACUUGUUCACAAGGUAACUUUCACUUUCACUCUUUUAAUUAUUUAUUGAAUCAACACGUUUUAUAUUCAAACAAUGAUUGGAGUACACAUGAUAAUUUUCUUUUUUUUCUUUUUAGGUGUUCGCUAUCUGUAUUAUUCGACGAACAGUGUCACACCUCCUUUUGAUUUAUCCACAAUAUAGUUAUAACAUUUAGUAA